UGGGGAAUCUUGCGCAAUGGGCGAAAGCCUGACGCAGCGACGCCGCGUACGGGAAGAAGGCCUUCGGGUUGUAAACCGUUUUCAGGAGGGACGAAGCCACUCGAGUUAAUAGCUCAGAGGGUGACGGUACCUCCAGAAGAAGCCCCGGCUAACUACGUGCCAGCAGCCGCGGUAAUACGUAGGGGGCAAGCGUUGUCCGGAUUUAUUGGGCGUAAAGAGCGUGUAGGCGGCCAGAUAAGUCUGACGUGAAAUGUCGAGGCUCAACCUCGAAAGGUCGUUGGAAACUGUCUGGCUAGAGUCCGGAAGAGGAGAGUGGAAUUCCUGGUGUAGCGGUGAAAUGCGCAGAUAUCAGGAAGAACACCUAUGGCGAAGGCAGCUCUCUGGGACGGUACUGACGCUGAGACGCGAAAGCGUGGGGAGCGAACAGGAUUAGAUACCCCCGUAGUCC
rnacentral:rRNA from 1 species